GGGGUCAUAGCUCAGCUCGGGAGAGCGCCUGUCUGGCAGACAGGAGGUCGCGGGUUCGAUCCCCGCUGACUCCA
rnacentral:tRNA from 2 species